rnacentral:misc_RNA from 1 species
GAUGAAGAACGUAGCAAAAUGCGAUAAGUAAUGUGAAUUGCAGAAUUCAGUGAAUCAUCGAAUCUUUGAACGCACAUUGCGCCCGCUGGUAUUCCGGCGGGCAUGCCUGUUCGAGCGUCAUUUCAACCCUCAAGCCCCCGGGUUUGGUGUUGGGGAUCGGCUCUGCCCUUCUGGGCGGUGCCGCCCCCGAAAUACAUUGGCGGUCUCGCUGCAGCCUCCAUUGCGUAGUAGCUAACACCUCGCAACUGGAACGCGGCGCGGCCAUGCCGUAAAACCCCAACUUCUGAAUGUUGACCUCGGAUCAGGUAGGAAUACCCGCUGAACUUAAGCAUAUCAAUAAGCGGAGAA